UAUUAAAAAAAUGUGGGGCUUGGGAGAUAAGUCAGUGAAAGACCUCUUGCUCAACCUGUGCCAACCCCUAUGUUUGAAUCCCAGAAAUACAAGGAAAGAAAGAAAAUAUGUAUAAAGCAGUAUUGAUAAUAUUAGAAGCUGCAUCAACAGUAGAGUAUAUUAUAUAUUCAUGUAUUCUGUCUGUGUAAACUAAGCUGUAUUCAUCUGCACUCUCAUAUGUUAUUACUACCCCUCUCAAAGAGUGCUGAGCCCAAACUGGUCCAUAUUUAUAGUACAGGAGUUAUAGCUAUAGUUCACUUUUUUCCCCAUUUCCAAUAGAAAUACUUCCCUUGGGAGAAAUUAUUUAUGAUUGAUCUGAAAAGGUCAGUACUGUGCUUGUGCUAAAAUGAUAGCAGCUUCAAAACUAUAGAUUCUGAAGUUUUUAAAAGCAUAUUCUUUUUCUUUGUGUUAUUUUUUUAAAAAAUGCUUAAUGUUAAAAAAAAUCAGGCCCGUUUUAUUUCUGUUUUCAAGUACUCCAAUAAAAUUGUUGCCUGCUUCUGAGAAAGUUAUGUGUGUAGGUACCAUGUAAAGGAUUUGGCUACAGAUGUAUUGGUAUAUAACAUACUUGUAGGUGUAUUACUUCAUGAACUUGAUGAGACGAAAAUGUCUUGAAACCUUUAAAAAUUCUUUAAACAACUCAGUUUAGAAAACAGAAUAGACGUGUUAGGGUCAACUUGGCUAAAAGUUUACACUUGAGAGAUUAUUGUGGACUUCAUGACUUGUCCUUGCUGUAGCCAUUUUGCUAUGAAUGAACAGGAACAUUAUGGGUUGGCUUUAAUACACCGUUUCUAUGCUAGAUUCAAAAUAAUUUCCCUGCUCCCAGGAUUAACUAUUGAAAUAACAGAAGGGUGCAAAAACCUCACUCUAAACCCCAUUGGAAAUACCACAAUGUAAUUGUAUAUUUUCCCACAUGCCAAUGGUCCAUGUCCUCUGGGAAAAAGUGGAUAUACAAUACUAUUGGAAAGCACUGAUGGACCCUGGCUGGGGAGGGUCUCCCUUGAGUUAUCAAUUUCAUAUCUGAUAAUCAGAUUAUUUUAAGAGAUUGAGUGUGUAAAAAUUCCCUGAUGCCUAGGUUGCUUUAUGAUAUCCUUUUCUCUAUUUAACCUUGCUUAAAUAGCCAAACAUCACAUCCUUCCUACACAGAAGUAAUGAUGUAAUGUGCCCAUCUACUGCUUAUAUGAUUACUUGUGACUACUAGACAAUAGGCAAUUCAAGUUUGUGCAGCCAAGGGGAAUUUUUAUUGGGUUUUAUGUUUGUUCAGAAUUUGAUUUUUGAAUAUAAAAACAAAAUAAAAAUCUGAUUUGU
rnacentral:lncRNA from 1 species